CUACCGCGGUCGCUGUUGGUGGCGCCGCCGGGCCUGCGACUAGGUGGCAUCCUUCAGACACUAUAGGCCGUCUCUGCACACGUGAUGCGGGGCUCGGUCACGUUGCCCCCUGGAAGCUUGAGGAUGCGCCAGGUUUGACUCUGCAGGGCGUACGCGCUUUAGGGAUGGAAGGAAGAGGAACGCGGCAGGAAGGCGAGCCCCAAGGUGGAGAAUCGCCUGGGCGCGCAGGCUGCGGCGGCUUCGCACAGCCGCCCUGGGCGCUGCACGGGUCCGCGCGCACCCUGCUGCGCACCCACUCGCGGCCAGCUCCCUACAGAGGAGUGGAGUGACUGCUCGACUACCACCCCUCUUUUAGUGUGAGCGUCUGGAGUCCUGACCGCCCCAGCCAGCCCAGCUACGAUGAACUGUCUAAGAGGAUGUGGCAAGACCCAGAAGUAUGGGUGACCUUAUGUCAGAGGAAGUGGCUUUCUUAUUGCAGCAAAAAUUCCCGUACCAAUGUCAGUGCUAGGAUGGAGUUUCACUGUGUCACCCAGGCUGGAGUGCAGUGGCACGAUCUCAGCUCAAUGCAACCUCUGUCUCCUGGGUUCAAGCAAAUCUCCUGCCUCAGCCUCUUGAGUAGCCUGAGUAGCUGGGACUAAAGCCCUGCUUUGGAGCAGUUGGGAACUUCAGCAUUUUGAUCCACCUUUUUGGAGCCACCUCAUGUGAAAGAUGGAUGAGACCUUCGUCAGCAAACCUGUCUACGUAGGAGCUGGUAUGAGGAUCACACAAUGCAAGCAAAUAAAAUGAGAAAAGAUGAUUCAACAAGAGGCUUCACUGAUUUACUGUUUAACUGCUUUGACCAAAGUGCUUGGUUCUUAUAUGAAUAAGAAAGGGGAUGAGUUAUCCACCAGAAUGAAAGUUAUAUUCUGGUUUGAAGCUUCUGCUGUCAGAUAAUAUAGUUUUCUAUAGUGUGGAAGAACAGCAUCAUCUUCAAGCAAGGUGGAAUUAAGCAUGGACAGAACUGUGUUUCUCACCCAGGAGGAGGGUAGGUUUUUUUUUCUUUUUUACUUCUUAAAACUUAUUUUAAUAUUAUUCUUCCCUCCCCCACCCCAUUGGGAAAAGGCUAAAACAAUCUGGAUGGGUUUAAUUAGAAAUUAAUACAUACUGUCAUUGUAUAAAGUAAAUCAACAUUGUGGCAACAAGGGACUAUUCUUGGAAAAAGUGAAACCCAUAUUAACAAAAUAUGUCAUGGAAGAUCCCCACAUAGUGAUUUCACUGGCUGCCUGAAAGACAGACAGUGUAAAGGUCGAUGUUCUGCAUGUUCUCUGGGGCUUGUCCAUGCAACGGAAGAAGGUCUUUCCCAGACUCAGCCAAGCCUAGUUAGCUCCAACCAGGCCCUAGACCAAAAGCAAGGGAAGAGCACAUCCUUUCAAUAGAAUAAGGGUAGAAAGGGAUUCUCUGAAUGUAGUAACUAUGAAGCUAUGCCAAAGGUAGGCAGAAAAUGGGCUUGGGAGCCAGACACUCCAGGGUUCAGUAGUUCCUACCCACAGUCUUUGUGUGCUUGCUAAAUGGUGUACAUUUCUUGUUAACCACGUUAUUAAAACUUGAUCAGCAUGUAAGCUUUCUUCUGUUAGAUCUUUUGGCAGCAAACAACCUUCCCCCCAAGCCUCUGAAUUUUGGAGGAGGGUAGGCUUGAUGAAUUGUUUAGAAAUUUUGUGUUUGGUGGUGGCAGGAGGGGAGGGAUCAUGCGGCCUUCUGGUCACAAGCAAGCCUGCAGAAGAUUCAGUGGCCUUUCCAGUUGACUUAGACAGCCUGUGUCCCUGGUGUCACUGACUGGCACCUAUAGCAAUACUUGGUGUUAUUUAGCUUCUUGUCACAUACAACUUUCUUCUCUUCUUUCCUUCAAUUGUCCCUUUCCUCCUGACUUCUGUGAGGGAUAGCAGGAUUGAGGCCACAGGCUGCCACUCAGGGCAUUCACUCUCUGAUAAGAGUCAGUAAGGCAGAGCCACUGGUGCCCCCUGAACCCCUGCUGCAGGUGGGCAGAGGCUGGGCUGCUAGUGUGGUAUCCAAAGGACAGUAGCUGUGCUCACUAUGGCAGAGUCUAAUUUUGAGAUGUUGGGGAUUCUGGAGAAGAAACAUUUUGUGUGCUGCUGAGUCAUUAGGAAUUGACCAUUAUAGGUAGUAAAUAGCAGAACAGAAGAAAGAAACAAGACUGAUCAUGAAAUAAUUGGAGCGAGGAGUUCUGCUGACUGUAACAAUGUAAGACAUUUGCAUGUACAUUGUGUGGUUGAUUAGGAAAGAAGCUCUUUGUUCUGAAAUGUCUUCAUCAGUGAAAGUUGAAGAGAUAUGCUCAGCUGGGAUACAGUGAACUCAAUCUACUCCUCCAGGACUGGAUCUGCAGAACUCAGAUCUACCUUCCAUGACAGCUUCUGGCCGUUGGCAUACAGAGCUCUCCUCUCUCUCUGCACGUAGCUUGUCACUCACUCAGCUUGUAUUGAUGGGGUGGGGCAGUCUCAGAUUGUUUUAUAGGUGCAAUUAUUUAACUUCUUUAGAUGAGGGUUGUGCUUUAUGUUACUCUCUGAAGCCUCAUUUAUUUGCCACAUGGUGGGUACAUGAAGAUACAUGCUAAAUGAAAGUUGUGCAAAGAGCUCUGAACUUGGAGGCAGAUGACCUUGGACUUUUACUCAGUCUGUGUUACACAUGAGCUUGGAUAAGACUGAUCUUUCAGCUUUCUUCAGACCUUAAGCAUGAGAUAUAAAACAAGUAGAACAUAUAAAUAAAUAGAAGAAAAUAUACACAAAUAUUACAUGAUCUUUGAAUUGUAAGACUCACUAAGCAUAAAUGCCACUGAAGAAACCACAAAGAAGAGAUUUGCCAGUAUGGAAAGCUUUUUAAUUCUAUAUAUCAGAAAAUAUAAUAAAAUUAAGAGGCAAAUGACCUAUUGAGAAAAAUACUUCUACUUGGUAAGUCGAAGUAUAGAAAAUAAGCAAAAGAUACAGUUCACAAAGAAAAAAAUACAAUCAGCUGAUAAAUAUAUGUGGUCAAAGAAGUACACUUUAAAUCUACAGUGAGAUACUUUUUAAUCAGCUCAAAUUUUCAGGGGGACCCAUUCAGUCUUAUAUGAUGCUGGUGGAAGUGGAAAUUUCCUGGAGCAGUGUGUAUUAAGAGCCAUAAAAAUG
rnacentral:lncRNA from 1 species